CCCCAGUGUAAACACCCACGCUGCCUUACCUUUUGUGCGCGCGGUCCCAGCAACAAGGUAACAUUGCGGUUGAGACUGCGGAGCAGUUGGCGGCUCCAAGAGGUACGCUCCCCCAGUUUUUGAAAAAGAAGUAUCCCACACUACCCGACAGCUCUGGUGGGCAGUUCCCUGGGCUAGCUUUGCCCCUCAGCCCUGCAAACCGCCCCCCAAUGGGGGGCGGCAGAAACUCGCUCCUGGGGCUCAUCUCCCGGGCCCCUCACCACACCUGCCCAAGAACCCUAGGUGCUACCUGUGAGCCUUGUAUACAUGACGACCACAAAUCUUGUGCUGACUUAAGUGAUCCUGAGGCACACUGGAGCUUCAGAAGAGCAUCACCUGUCUCAUGCCAGCUGUCUUCUCUGCUCCUUUGCCAUCAAAGCUGGCUGCGACUGCAGGUGUGUACUACCAUUCCGCCUCUCUUCCUCCUCCUCCUUCUCGUCUACCAGACAUUGCUGGCCUUUCUCCUCCUCCUGCUCUACCGGACAUUGCUGGCCCUCCCCCUCCUCCACUUCCUCCUCUACCAGACAUUACUGCCUCUCCUCCUCCUCCUUCUCCUCCUCCUCUACCAGACAUCGCUGGUCCCCCCCCAUCUACCAGACAUUGCUGGCCUUCCUCCUCCUCUUCCUAGUCUACCACACAUCGCUGCCUCUCCUCCUCCUCCUCCUCUUCCUCUACCAGCCAUUGCUGGCCCUCUUCCACCUCCUCCUCCACCAGACAUUGCUGGGCCUCCUCUUCCUCCUCCUCCUCCUCUAUCAGACAUUGCUGGCCCUCCCCCUCCUCCACUUCCUCCUCUACCAGACAUUACUGCCUCUCCUCCUCCUCCUUCUCUUCCUCCUCUACCAGACAUCGCUGGCCCUCCUCCUCCUCCUCUACCAGACAUUGCUGGCCUUCCUCCUCCUCUUCCUAGUCUACCACACAUCGCUGCCUCUCCUCCUCCUCCUCUUCCUCUACCAGCCAUUGCUGGCCCUCUUCCGCCUCCUCCUCCACGAGACAUUGCUGGGCCUCCUCUUCCUCCUCCUCCUCCUCCUCUAACAGACAUUGCUGACCCUCCUCCUCCUCUACCAGACAUCACUGGCCCACCUCCUCCUCCUCCUCUAACAGACAUUGCUAGCCUUCCUCCUCCUCCUCUACCAGACAAGGAAGGAGGGCCAGCGAUGUCUGGUGGAGGGGGAGGAGGAGGUUGAGAGAUGUAUGGUAGAGGAGGAGGAGAAGGAAGGCCAGCAAUGUCUGGUAGAGGAGGAGGAGGAGGAGGAGGAGGAGGAUGGCCAGCAAUGUAUGGUGGAGGAAGAAGAGGAGGGCCAGCAAUGUCUGAUAGAUGUGGAGGAGGAGGAGGUGGAGGAGGAGGAGGAGUGCCAGUGAUGUCCGUUCGAGGAGGAAGAAGAAGGUAAGCAAUGUCUGGUAGAGGAGUAGAAGGAGGAGGAAGAGGGCCAGCAAUAUCUGGUACAGGAGGAGGAGGAGGGUCAGUGAUGUCUGGUGGUGGAGGACAAGGAGGAGGAGGAGGAGGAGGGACAGAGAUAUAUGGUAUAGGAGGAGGAGGUCCAGCAAUGUAUGGUAGAUGAGGAGGAGGAGGACCAGCAAUAUCUGGUAGAGGAGGAGGAGGAGGAGGAGGGCCAGUGAUGUCUGGAGGAGGAGGAGGAGGAGGAGGAAGGCCAGCGAUGUCUGGUAGUGAAGGAGGAGGAUGUGCAUGAGGAGGUGGAUGGCCAUCAAUGUCUGAUAGAGGAGGAGGAGGACCAGCAAUGCCUGGUAGAAGAGGAAGAGGAGGAAAAGGAGGAGGCAGAGGAGGAUUAAGGGCAGUGAUGUCUGGUAGAUGUGGAGGAGGAAGGCCAGCAAUGUCUGCUAGAGGAGAAGGAGGAUGAGGAGAAGCUCUUGUGAUGUCUGGUAGAGAAGGAGGAGAAUGAGGAGGAGGAGGAGGAAGGCCAGCGGUGUCUGGUAGAGGACAAGGAGGAUGAUGAUGAGGAGGAGGAGGAGGAGGAGCAGGAAGGCCAGCAAUGUCUUGAGGAGGAGGAGGCUUAGGAGCAGGAGGGCCAGCAAUGUCUGGUACAGGAGGAGGAGGAGGAGGGCCCUCAAUAUCUGGUAGAGUAGGAGUAGGAGGAGUAGAAGGAGGGCCAGUGAUAUCUGGUAGAGAAGGAGGAGGAAAAGGAAGAGAAGGAGGAGGAGGAGAGGCAUGGAUGUCCGGUAGAUGAGUAGGAGGAGGAGGAGGAAGAUGGCCAGCAAUGUCUGAAACAGGAGGAGGAGGAGGAGGAGGAGCAUCAGUGAUGUGUGGCAGAAGAGAAGGAGGAGGGCCAGCGGUGUCUGGAGGAGGAGGAGGUGGAGGAAGGGGGCCAGAGAUUUCUUGUAGAGGAGGAGGAGGGCCAGCAAUGUAUGGUAGAGGAGGAGGAAGAGGAGUUGGUGGACUAGCGAUGUCUUUUAGGGGAGGAGUGGGAGGAGGACAAAGAGGAGGAGGAGGAGGGCCAGCGAUGUC
ensembl:lncRNA